ensembl:ncRNA C16E9.16 ncRNA
AACUCCUUGUUGCAUCGUAAACAUUUUGAAACGGCGCAGUUGGAAUGAGUGAGUCAAUGAGCCUUUGAAAUGGGUCCUAUAAAUUAUUCCGGACCAAGAAUCUUUUCUCACCCACUUUUUCUUCCAUAGCACUGAAGUCUGAAGAAGUCA